rnacentral:rRNA from 1 species
GAUUCUGGCUCAGGAUGAACGCUGGCGGCGUGCCUAACACAUGCAAGUCGAACGGACCUUUACCAACUGCGAUUCGUCAAAGGAAGUAUAAGGUUAGUGGCGGACGGGUGAGUAACGCGUGGGUAACCUGCCUCAUAGAGGGGGAUAACAGUUGGAAACGAUUGCUAAUACCGCAUAAGCCCACAGGACCGCAUGGUCCAGGGGGAAAAGAUUCAUCGCUAUGAGAUGGACCCGCGUUUGAUUAGUUAGUUGGCGGUGUAACGGACCACCAAGACGACGAUCAAUAGCCGGACUGAGAGGUUGAACGGCCACAUUGGGACUGAGACACGGCCCAAACUCCUACGGGAGGCAGCAGUGGGGAAUAUUGCACAAUGGGGGAAACCCUGAAUGCAGCGACGCCGCGUGGGUGAAGAAGUUUUUCGGAAUGUAAAGCCCUAUCAGCAGGGAAGAAAAUGACGGUACCUGACUAAGAAGCCCCGGCUAACUACGUGCCAGCCGCAGC